rnacentral:rRNA from 1 species
CAGUAGCCACGGGAACACGUAGGGUGCAAGCGUUAAUCGGAAUUACUGGGCGUAAAGCGUGCGCAGGCGGUUAUAUAAGACAGAUGUGAAAUCCCCGGGCUCAACCUGGGAACUGCAUUUGUGACUGUAUAGCUAGAGUACGGCAGAGGGGGAUGGAAUUCCGCGUGUAGCAGUGAAAUGCGUAGAUAUGCGGAGGAACACCGAUGGCGAAGGCAAUCCCCUGGGCCUGUACUGACGCUCAUGCACGAAAGCGUGGGGAGCAAACAGGAUUAGAUACCCGCGUAGUCCCUGUCUCUUAUAC